GGCAGUGUCCUAGAGGUAAAGAGUACAGGCUUAGAGUCAGACAGCGCGGGUUCAAAUCCUGCUUCUGCCA
rfam:Pan troglodytes isolate Yerkes chimp pedigree #C0471 (Clint) chromosome 8, whole genome shotgun sequence.